rnacentral:rRNA from 1 species
AGAGUUUGAUCCUGGCUCAGAACGAACGCUGGCGGCAGGCCUAAUACAUGCAAGUCGAGCGGGCGUAGCAAUACGUCAGCGGCGGACGGGUGAGUAACACGUGGGAAUAUGCCCCGAGGUACGGGACAGCUCAGGGAAACUUGAGCUAAUACCGUAUGAUCCGGCAACGGCAAAGAUUUAUCGCCUUGGGAUUAGCCCGCGUCCGAUUAGCUAGUUGGUGAGGUAAUGGCCCACCAAGGCACCGAUCGGUAGCUGGUUUGAGAGAACGACCAGCCACACUGGGACUGAGACACGGCCCAGACUCCUACGGGAGGCAGCAGUAGGGAAUCUUGGACAAUGGGGGAAACCCUGAUCCAGCCAUGCCGCGUGAGUGAUGAAGGCCUUCGGGUUGUAAAACUCUUUCGACGGGGACGAUAAUGACGGUACCCGUAGAAGAAGCUCCGGCUAACUUCGUGCCAGCAGCCGCGGUAAUACGAAGGGGGCUAGCGUUGUUCGGAAUUACUGGGCGUAAAGCGCGCGCAGGCGGCCUUUCAAGUCAGGGGUGAAAGCCCAGAGCUCAACUCUGGAAUUGCCUUUGAAACUGUCAGGCUUGAGUACGGGAGAGGUGAGUGGAAUUCCCAGUGUAGAGGUGAAAUUCGUAGAUAUUGGGAAGAACACCGGUGGCGAAGGCGGCUCACUGGCCCGUUUCUGNNGCUCAUGCGCGACAGCGUGGGGAUCAAACAGGAUUAGAUACCCCAGUAGUCC